CCCGAAAUAAAUUGAGCUAAUAUAAAACAAUAAAAUGUUUCAUAAUUUUAAAAAAGUUUAUAUUAGAAAUGAAAUGUUAUUCGAAAUUUAAAAUAACUGGUUCUUAUAAAUAUAUUUUAUAUCAUUUAUUUUUAAUAAAAUAAAUUAUUUAGGAUAACCUUAAUAAUAUAGUUACUUAUUUCAAAAAAAGACAUAAAAGGAAUAAAAGUUUCUUUCAGUAUUAUAACUAAUUUAUUCAAAAAUUUUUAAUAAUUAAAACAAAGAAUCAUUUUAAUAUAAAAAUUGUAUUAUAAUGUAACUAUAAGUAGAAAAAAUAUUUUAAAAUUUUUUGAAUUUUAAUUGAAAAAAUUUAUUUAAAUUAUUAUUAGGAACUAAAAAUUAUUUAGCCUGUUUACCAAAAACAUGGUUUUUAGAAAUAAUUAAAAAUCCAACCUGCUCAAUGCCUAUGUAAAUAGCCGCGGUAUUAUGACCGUGCAAAGGUAGCAUAAUAACUUGUCUUUUAAUUUGGGACUAGAAUGAAAGGUUAGACUAUGUAAUUUUGUCUUAUAAUAAUAUUUUGAAUUUCACAUUUUAGUAAAAAGGCUAAAAUUCCCUUUAAAGACGAGAAGACCCUAUCAAGCUUUACAAUUUUAAUUUAUCAUCAAUUUAAAUAAAAGAUUGUUUUGCUGGGGCAGCAAGUGAAAAUUUUUUGCUUAUAUAUUAUGAAAUAUAAUUCUUGAAAAAUCAAAUAAAAUUUAAAUAAAAAUAAGUUACUGUAGGGAUAACAGCAUAAUUUUUUUAAAGAGUCCUUAUCAGCAAAAAAGUUUGUGACCUCGAUGUUGGAUUAAAAUUCCUAUUUCGUGCAAUAAUGAAGUAAGGGAGUCUGUUCGACUCUUAAAAUUUUCCAUGAUCUGAGUUCAAAUCGGUGUAAACCAGGUUGGUUUCUAUCUUAAUUUUAAAAAUUUUAUUUUAGUACGAAAGGACCAAAUAAA
rnacentral:rRNA from 1 species